rnacentral:rRNA from 1 species
UACGUAGGGUGCGAGCGUUAAUCGGAAUUACUGGGCGUAAAGGGCGCGUAGGCGGCCUUCUAAGUCAGACGUGAAAUCCCUCGGCUCAACCGGGGAACUGCGUCUGAGACUGGAAGGCUUGAAUCCGGGAGAGGGAUGUGGAAUUCCAGGUGUAGCGGUGAAAUGCGUAGAUAUCUGGAGGAACACCGGUGGCGAAGGCGGCAUCCUGGACCGGUAUUGACGCUGAGGCGCGAAAGCCAGGGGAGCAAACGGG